rnacentral:misc_RNA from 1 species
UCCGGUUUGACACCGGCAGUCCCGCUAGAGUGCUCAGCAUCCGAAGACCUGAUGGCAACUAGAGGCAGGGGUUUCGCUCGUUAAGGGACUUAACCCGACACUUCACAGCACGAGCUGACGACAGCCAUGCAGCACCUGUGUACGUUCCACGGUAAACCGCGUCACUCCGCUUUCACAGAGCUAAUCCGUACAUGUCAAGCCCAGGAUAAGGUUCUUCGCGUUGCUUCGAAUUAAGCCACAUGCUCCACCGCUUGUGUGAGCCCCCGUCAAUUCCUUUGAGUUUUAGCCUUGCGACCGUACUCCCCAGGCGGUGUACUAAUUACUUUUGCUUCGACCCCGAUGAUGUCAGCAUCUCCGAGAUCUAGUACACAUCGUUUACGGCGUGGACUAC